GUUGAGGAGUGGGCCCACGCUGGAGUGAGUCUUCGCAAGGCUGCCUUGUACUGGCUCCUGCACUUAGCAAACACUUUCCAGUGUGAUGUUGUUCCCAAGCUGUCCUCACCUCAUAGGGUCUUUUUUUUGGUCUUUUUCCUUUUGAUUGGUACCGGGGAUCGAACUCACGACUAGCUGCUUGCAAGGCAGGCGCUUAUGCCGCUGAGCUAAAUCCCCAGCCCCUUCUCAUAGGGUCUUGACCAGGCUACAAGGCUGGUGUCACUGUUUUAACCCCUGUUUUAGAGAUUGGGCAAAGAGAGGUGAAAACACUUAACAUGAGCAAUAGUGAGCUCACUUCUUUUACUCUUAAUGUGUUGACAAUGUUAUUACCCAGCUAGGCAGAGUGGUUCAGUAAUCCCAGUAUUCAGGAGGCUGAGGCAGGAGGAUCACCACGAGCUUAAGAUCAACAUGAGUGAGUUCAGUGCUAGUUUGGACUACAGAGCAAGACCCUGCCUUAAAAACAAAAUGAAACAAAAUGGAAAAACUUGAAAAGAAACAUCAAGAGAUACACAGCAAGAAAACCACAUCAAGCCUGCAGGUGUUUACCAACCCCAGGAGAUCUGAACUUGACUCUGAGUGGUUCUGUGGAGCAAGAGGCCAGAAAACUAAAGUCCAAAGCCCACGCUCAGCAGGAGAUCUUUCCUGUGAUACAGCCCUGGCCCAGAAACCCUUCCAGGUGCUGCAGUUCACAGGUCUCGCAUCACCCUAAAAGGAAGCUCCAUGCCCCAGGGCGGCCUCUUCACUGUCUGUCACAUCCUCAGCCCCUGGCACUACCUGCCUGUUUGCUGGCCCUGCAGAUGGGCCCAGAUAACUCACCUCUUGUCCGUGGAAUCCUACAGUACCUGUCCUUGUGAGCCCGGCCUCUUUCACUUAGUGGAGAGCACUGACAGCUGGUGGUCACCGUGUAACACCAGCUGAACUGGGUCAGCGCGAUGCUGGGUGUUGGAGGCCCACCUGAGGAUGGUCAGGUCAGCCACAUAGAAAGGAGACCUAGAGAGGAUGAAGAGGCGCUGUUGGUUCUUCUGUUGCUGUGGGAUCUCCUGAAGGAGCUUGUCAUGCUGGCUGUAUUCUGCUGUCCUCAUUUUCGGAGAAGCUUAGAACCUCUCUGUUGCUGAGGCUGGCUGUGGUACUUUUUUGGAGACCCUGGUCCUUAUUUUGAGCAUCACUUCCUGGUUCCAGUGCAGAUCCCUGCUGGCACAGACCCUUCAUCCUGCUAGCACAGACUUUCUAGCUUCCACCGAUGAACUUUAGGCCUUCCCAGUGGAGAUCUGUGAAAAAGACUUGCAUGAGUCAUUGUCAUGGGCUUUGGGCCUCCAUGAGGAUUUAUGAGGGUAUUGUCAUGGGAUCCAGGCCCUCAGCUGGAUUCUUUGGGAUCUUCAGUGUGUGGAUAGAUUUCCUGCACUUUUGGGUGACUACUAUAAAAUAAUUCUAUAAAUUAUGUAUCCUGUAUUAAAUUGUUUUCCUGACUACCACA